rnacentral:sRNA from 1 species
UGUUUGUUUUUCUUGUGAUGAUGAAGGUACAAGUCCCUGAAGAGGCAGCAGAAGCUAGAGCUGCUUUUAGGAAGCUGUGGGUGGCCCAGGCCUCUUUCCUUAGGCAAGCUGACACCAUUGGUUGAUUUGUAGAUAUUGAAAAAUCUUUGUAUCUGUGGGAUAAAUUCCACUUGAUCAUGGUGUGUG